UGAAAAGGCUCAUGAUAUGGACAUAAAUUCAGUACAAUGGGGCCCUGGGGAGAAUCGGCUUAUUGCUUCCGCAAGUGAUGAUGGAAGUAUAAAGAUGUGGGAGCUCGCAACUCUUGCGUGANNNNUUUGCUGACUUCCAUUUUGCUCUUCAUUUUUUCAAGGUUUAUGAUGUGUGUGGUCUGAUAAAGUUGUAAAACGCUCCUCCUCCAUGGCCUCAGCCCCAAA
rnacentral:misc_RNA from 1 species